AAGGACUGGCUGGCUGAUUUUUCAAUAAUUUGAGCAUUUAGCUGCUCUUGUACUGCUGUUCUAGAGCCUGUAAUUUUUCUGAAGCCAAGAGCCAUUGUUCCACCCACACAUGUUCGUCAAUUAACCACUUUAAAGGCAGGACGAUUAAUACCUUUGAAAGGCCAACAACUGUUAAGUCCUUUUUAUGUACAACCUGAAUGGUCUAUGACUGUAAUGUAUUUUAUAUCUUAGUGUGCUCCAUCUGAUGCCAGAAGAGGGCAUCAGAUCACACUUUAGAUAACUGUGGGGGUGAUUCUGAUGCUAAGGUCCUGUUCCCUGAUUGAUUCUUAACUGAUCAAUAAAGAAGCUAGGAGGCCAAUUGCUGGGCAGAAAGAAAGAGGCGGGACUUCCAGAAUCACACAGGCAGGCUAAGAGAUGAAGGAAGAAGAGGGAGAAAAGGUAACCAGCCAUGUGAGAUCUUGUGCCGAGUGGCCAUAGGCUGCUUCCCCUGGUGGGAGAUUAGAAAUUCAACUAGGCUGAGCGCACUUUUGGGUUGUUGAACAAGGAGAGAUAACCAGGAUCACUAAAGUAAGGGCAGAUUAAGAAGUGCUGAGCUAAGAGUGUUAGGAAGGGCAUGCUAACCAUGAGAGAUUAGAAGCACCCAGCAAUUGAGCUAAUAAGGCAGGCUGAAACUAAGCUACAUGUAUGUGCUGUCAUCCCUGGAUCCAAUAUUCUCUGGGCAGGGACUGUUAGUACAGCCUUCCCAGAGCUUAAAGUAGGGUAGUAGGAACUACACACAAUAGAUGGUUAUGAGCCACCAUGUGGUUGCUGGGAAAUGAAAACAGGACCUCUGGGAGAGCAGUCAGUGCUCUUAACCAGAGUUAUCUCUCCAGCCUGAUAAUACCUUUUAAUAUUUUUCUCAGAAUAAUUCUUUUACAGUUUGUUUCUGAGAUUAGAGGAAUAUUAAUCUGUGUUUUCCAUUGUUGCAACAAAUCAUAUCCCCAUAAAUUCAUGGCUGUAUUAGCCACAUAUGGCUGAAAUUUUUCUAUUGGCUCUGUACACUUCACCCAUCUUGCACUUUGCUUCAACUGAAAUAAAGUUCCAAUCCCUAGAAGCUGAAUAUUUAUCUCCUAAAGAGGCCAAUCUGAAUGCCAAGAAUUGGUGAAAUUAUUGUUACAUCUGUUCCUGUGUCAACUAAACCUUCAAUUUCAACGCCCUUUAUUUGUAUUUUUAGCUUUGGUCACUGAUCCAUUUAUAGCAGUUUGCCAAAACACUUGCUUCUAGUCUCUCCUGAGUUUUGUUUUAUCUACUAGCUGUUCUGUCCUUGAUUACAUUCAGAGCAGUGUUUCACACACACACACACACACACACACACACACACACACACACACACACACACACACACACACACACACACACGAGUUUAUUUUUAUGUGCACUGAUGUUUCUUCUGCAUGUAUGCUGGUAAGAGGGUGCCAGACUCACUGGAACUGGAGUUACAGAUAGUUAUAAAAUGCCAUACUGCCAUGUAGGUGCUGGACAUUGAACCAAGGACCUCUGGAAGAGCAGCCAAUGCUCUUAACUUCUGAGCCAUCUCUCCAGCUCAGAGUGGUACUGUUUUCAACAACAGGCAUUAAAUCCUUUAACGUGUAUGUGGAGGAGUUUCUCCAGCACUGUCAUGGAAUGACAGAAUCAAAUUUGCUAUCCGGGCCUAAGGGAGGCCCCCCAGGGCAUUCCCAAUCGCAAAGCGUUACCUUGCCUGUCUCUUGUUCUGCAUUCAUUAGUCCAACACCAGCCUUUGACACAUCUUCUGCAUGCUCCAGAAGGCUGAGCCUUCUUUUUGGAUUAUCUCUAGAAAAAAACAUUGUUUCUAGGAAUGCCUUGCCUACAAUCCCUUUUCAAAUGACCUUGCUUAUCACAAUUAAAGAAUCUAACAUUUUGAUUUUUCUUAAAACUUUUAGAAAUUACUACUUCUAUCAGAGUACCAUCAUAAAUAUGAGAUCCAAUAUCAGCCAUAUUCUAAUCUAUUCAUCUACUGGUGCAGAUUUUGCCCUUAAAGGCCUAAUCACCCUUUUGCAUCCUGAAUUGGCAUUUUCAAAAACCAAAAAUUCAAUUAAUAUUUGUCUAACUUCUGAUACUAUUCUAUUUACAGCUGAAGUCAAUCUUUUCAAAAAGUCAUUGAAGGCUUCGUUUGGGCCUUGUAUAAUUUUAGUAAAUGACUCAGAUCUCUCUCCUGAUUCUUCAACCUUGUUCCAAGCAUUUAAAGCUACUAAAUGACAAAGUGCCAAUGUUUUAUAAUCAUCAAAUUCAAGCUGCCUUUGCAACUCAGCAUAUGGACCUUCACCUAGCAACUGAUCUUGGGAAAUAUUAAUACUUGCCCCAUUUCAUUGUUCUAUGGCCCUCACUUCCUCUUUCUAUCAUGUUCACCACUGUAACAGAGGACCAGUUUAGGAAGGGGCAGGAGGGGGGAAUGCCUAUCAUGUACAAUAACUGGAUAAACUAAAGUUGGUUUUCUAACAACCUUGGGCCACCCCUCCAGUUUCACGAUGUGGUGUUAUGGUAAGAUCUUGUCUAAAUUCUUCUGUCUGUGUCUGAGUACUUUUCUUAUUUUCAUCUUUAAGUCUUUCUAAGGCUUGUAUCUUAUCAAUCCACUGUUCAUAUUUGGCACAAUUAUCAAACCGUUUUUUUAUAUUUGGCACAAAAACCUACUAUGGCUAUUAAGGAUAAAAUGUAAGUUACCAGACUGAUAGUAAUGAUAAUUAGUAUUAUGUCAAUCUCAAGUCAUUUAUCUUUCCAUUUUCUACUUCUAUUUUCAAACCAUCUAAAGUAACACUAUACAGGAUCCUAAUGUCCUGUAUCGAUAUUUCCCAUCUUUAAUGUGGGAAAGAUUUUUUUCCUUUUAACACUACUUAACUUCCUCCUUGAAGAUUUCCUAGGUGUUACUAAUUCUAAUGACUUCUCAGUUUGUCCACAGCUGGCAUGAUUUCUUUGCCUGUGUGAUUGUGCCAGGCAUUGGGGUGCCAAUUGUUUUCAUUCAUGUUUUUACUCAGGAGCCAGAUGUUGGGGUAAGACUGCUGCUCAGAGAGGCAGAGAAAGCACCCAGCUGACCUUCUUCCUUAGCCAACAUUCCACCAGUAAUCCCCCUGCCUCAUUGUCUCAAUCUUCAAACUGAAUAUCCUUCCCUUCUACUUCCUGUGCAUCUCCCUAUCCAUCCUCUUGUCUCCCUCUUACUCUCUCUGGUGUUUAAUAAUCCUAUGUUUUCUUCCUGUUAAUUGGUUGCUUGCUCCUUUCUUGGCCUAUGUUUGAUUUUAUUUAAUACUGUUUACAAUAUUCAAGCAGAAAAUUCCUGGAUUAAAGAUGUGUGCCAAGGCUGAGCCACAGUACAACUAAAAAAGAGAUUUUUCCAGUAAAUAAUACAAUCUUGGGGUUCACAGUGUGAUCAAAUAUCCUGCAAAAUUUCCUUUUAAUCCCAGCACUCAAGAAACAAACAAAAGCAGGCAGAUCUAUGAGGUCAAGGCCAGCCUGGUCUACUGAGUGAGUUCCACGCCAGACAGGGCUUAUACAGUGAGAACUUGUCUCAAAAUAAUAAUGAUAAUGAUGGUAAUAAUAGUAGUGUCAGCAGCUGGACAAAUAAGUCAGGGUUUUAGACCACCGGCUUCUCUUUCAGAGGACCCUGGUUUGAUUUCCCAGCAACUGGCAACUCACAAACACCCAUGAAUACCAGGCACGCAGGUGCUACCAACAUAAAUGCAGCCAAACAUCCAUACACAUAAAAUUUU
rnacentral:lncRNA from 1 species